CGGCAACAGCUCAAAUUUGAAAUCUGGCGUCUUCGACGUCCGAGUUGUAAUUUGCAGAGGGCGCUUUGGCAUUGGCAGCGGUCCAAGUUCCUUGGAACAGGACGUCACAGAGGGUGAGAGCCCCGUACGGUUGGACGCCUAGCCUCUGUAAAGCUCCUUCGAC
rnacentral:rRNA from 1 species